UCCUACUUAGUUGUAUUCUCCAGAGUGGAAUUGUGGCUUUAUAGCCAUUUUCUUUCAAAAAGAAGAGUGUCCUUCACACCUUCCUGUUCUUCUAAGAAUAACAGGGUAACAAUUUGGCUCUGUAUGUAAGUGUGGAUGAACAAUGGAGCCUGCUAGAAGGGUCAUCUAAAGACAGAGUUCUGACAGCUGAAUUUGAGUGGUAAGGAUUUUGGAAACAUCAGCACAUACUAAAGAUGUUUUCCUGGCUGUACGCCAGGACUGAAUGAACUACUUGAGCCCCCUUCAGGUACUAGCAAAUCACCUUGGUAUAAACUAUACCGAAGUGAGGACAUUCAGAGAUGAGCUCCCAGUGGUAGAAGAACAGGAAUUUCUAGUCCAGCUCUAGGUCUGGACAGUGUCUUGAUAUCCUGUGGCUUAAAUCCUAGUGUAUAAGGUUACCAGGUUAUUCAAACUUCUAGAAAAGAAUAUUUUCUGCCCCUGUAUACUUACCACUGUGAAUCAACCAAUACUACCAGGCAGCUUCUUCUUGAAUAGCUGUCAUCCUUCCCUAGUACACACAAUGGAUGUUGAACAUAAGACUUUUUUUUUUGGUCCAAAAAGUAAUGGAACACAGUAAAACUGUAGGAGACUGACUUGUAAAAUGAAAUUAAAAUGCUAGCUGAGGACCUCUCUGGAACUAGCUAAGUUAUAGACAACUCAAAUGCAUAUUAAUUGGACCAUAUGGUCCAGUAUUUAAACAAAGGUAUAUAUGUUUGUACAGAGUGUUUGGGACAGACGUUAGAACAAAGCCUUCAUGACCUGAUGAAAUUCAUGAUCGGCUGAUUGAAAUCAGGAAAACAGGAAACUUGAAAGGCUGUCCUGCAUAGUAAUGACACACAGGAGUUCAUUGUUGGGCAGCUCCGUAAAAUCAGCUGCAAUGCCUGUACAUGUUUUGUUACCCCCAAUUCCCUUGCAAAAGACCAAGGCAGGCUUGUGAGGCGUUGCCCAGAAGAAAGGGUGGUACAGGAUUUCUCUCUGUUGAAGCAGGCAUAUGGAGGAAGAAGGUUUCCCAAAGCCUGCCAGCCACUGGAUAUCUCUGAUGAGCUCUCUACAAGGCAAGAUCUUGUGUUGUAGACCCUGCCUGACAUUGUUGCAUCCCCUGUCUUCCGGUUUCAUGGACUGUAGGACCCUCCUGUAGUGGAAGUGGAACAGUGCAAGCAGCUCCCGUAGCUGCACUUCUGUUUGAUCUUGCACAAUGAAGGUCAGGCAAGAGCAGAAAGAAAGACCACCUGCACAAGCCUAGGCAGCAAAUAAGUCCAAACAGAGCAAGUCAGCAUGGAGACCCUGAUGGACCCUGUGAAUGAAGGCGAUCAGGGAGCAGCAAGGGGGUGGCUGUUCUAGGUUGGGCCUGAGAGCUGCACUCACUCCCUAAUCAUACAGUUAACCUCAGGAAGAUGGCAUUCAUGUAUGUUUAUGCACCAAUUGAUGUAUGUUUGCUAUUGUAUUUGUUGUCAUGAACACAUUGGAGAUGGUAGUUUCCAUUUUAAUGAGAAAACAUGACCCAGGAGAAGCUAAGUCUAUCAGGAUCGUUUUCUUUUAUCUCUGCAAAAAUUGCUCAUUUUGCUCAUCUUAGCUAUUUAAGUUAAGAUCGUUAGGUGACUCAUUGUGUUAUGCAUUUAAUAUAUUUCACAUGGACAAUGUUACAUUUCUGUUCAAGAAGUAGUUUGAAAGAGCUUUUCAUGACAUGCAAGACAUAAACAGUCUGUCUGUGAGCCACUGUCUUACGUCCUGAUCAACUCUGUCACAUUUUCUUGUUUUUAAAUUCCUCAUCUUAAAAAUAUGAGUCAACAUAAAUAGCUUUGAAUCUAUGUUACCUUAUUAACCAAUGGAGAGUGACUCUACCCAUAAAAUAUUUACAUAGACAACAGUCUUGUGCUAGUAAUGUAUUUUCACAUUACUUAGUAAUUUAAAACAUGUCAACCCCUUCCAAAUAGUAGGAACAAUCCAAACAUGGGACUGAUGUUGACCUUAAAAGGCUGCUCCUCUUUGUUUUAAGUCAAGCGGCAAUCACCACAGAUUAUUACUGUGCAUUCUUUGUACAAAUCCUUAUCAGCAAUGCCCCCAAAUAUAACUCUAAAUGGUAGGAAAAACAGUAGGUGGUAAGGGCAGAUGUUGCAUCAACAGCAUAUCAUUUAAGGGAGCUUGUGGAAGACUGUAUGGAAAAUACAUCAUUUUAAUAUUAGUGAGGAGAGGAGAUAGUCCAUGCUGGAUGUGUAGAUGGAGGACCAUGCAGUCACAAGCUACUUCACUUUCAUACGAUCACAGUUCCUGAAGGAGAAAACAGAGAAGAUUCUAAAAUGAAAAUGCUCUGCAUGCUGUCAGAAGUGAAGGCAUAUUAAGAAGACAAAGGCCACUGUCCGUGUAUUAAUUUAUCACAUUGAGGCUCCUCUUUUGUGUCUCCUACUUAUGACAACAUCUUGUGAAUUUACAGCUGACAGACUGAGGUUGUCUGGACAAAAUCUUCCUUAAUCUCAUCUUCAUGAUCUGAUCUUCCACCUCCGAAGUUAUCUACCCACAGGUACUGCUGAAGGACAUUGCACCAGCUAAGGCAAAAAAGACUUUGUAAGAAAAUGGCAGAAGACUGUUUAGGAAAAUCAGAUGGCCAUUUAACAUACCAAAGAGGAAGGAGAAAAAAGAAGAGAAAACAAGCUGAUAAAGAGGAUGGUUGAGGGACAUGGUUCUUCAGCCCCAAGUAGGACAGAGGGCAGAGGUCUCUUAUCAUACUGCCAGCAAGCAAUGUCUGUACAGCCUUUGGAAAAUACGACUCUGCCUUCCAGCCAACUGAAGUGGACAGAGGUACCCUACUCACUCCAAUCCCUUGUUGUUGAGGAAGAUCUGUGCCAUGUAUUACAGCAGAGCAACAGGUGGUCCAACAGGUGAUUUUACUGCAUGAAGAAGUGAAAUAGCUUAGGCUACUUUCACAAUAGAGCAAGGCCUCCUAAAAUAGCAAUAGUUCCAGGCACUUUAUACAAACACGCUAUUUGUCAGGAUCCUGUUUGCUUCACAGAGAGGAUCGAGGAGUAUGGUAUUUUUGUGCUAAAUGUGACAACUUUCUGGAACAUUCCUUGCUGAUGACCUUGAACUUCACUCCUUGCAAGGCCAAAUGAAAUUGCAAAAGUGUGAAGAGCAUGUUCAUAGACUUUCUUUGACACCUGCUUCUCGAUUAACCUCUGCUUCUAGAUAAACAACUGCUGCUUCAAGUGGAUGAAAGGGACAUCAAUGUGCUUACGGCAGUUUGGAAAACUGAUUAUUUAAAAGCCAACAAUUCUUUUCAGAACUCACAGACUUGUCUCAGUGGCACUAAAUUAGAGUAAGAAAGGAAGAGGCAACUUAACCUUCAGCAGCUGGGAAGAUACCGGGUUGUUAACUCUCACCACAGAAGAUUUUUUUUUUUUUUUUAAUUGGGUCCAGUCAUCACAGCAUGGAAUUACGACUGGAAAGACUGAGCCUGAAGCAUAAACAAGUCACAAUGCAAAAAUGUGCAGGUUGAAAACUAGAGAUCUGGAAUCCCAAUUAAUCGUUUGUCAUGUUCUUGGGGAGAAAUUUCUCUGCUGGAUGGGUUUAUGAUGCCUUCGUAGAGUUGAGUCAUAUAAGUUUAAGAUAUUGUUUUGUAAUUGCUAUAGCCUGAUUUAUCAUUUCUCAAGUGUCUGUCCACUUA